UGAUUAUAGAUGUCCUGAAAGUCCCGUU
rnacentral:sRNA from 1 species